rnacentral:lncRNA from 1 species
AUGUGUGUGUGUGUGUGUGUGUGUGUGUAUAUAUAUAUAUAUAUAUAUAUAUAUAUAUAUAUAUAUAUAUAUAUAUAUAUAUCCCUUUUUCCUUAUCCAUUCAUCAAUUGAAGGACCCUUAGGCUGGCUCCAUGGUUUUGCUACUGUGAAUUGUUCUGCUAUAAACAUGGGCAUACAUAUAUCACUAUAGUAUACUGAUUUUUUUGACACUUGAUCACUGAGCCACACCCCCAGCCCUUUUUAUAUUUUUCUUGAGACAAGAUCUCACCAAGUUUCUCAGGAACUUGCUAAGUUGCUGAGGCUGGCUUUGAACUCACGAUCCUCCUGCCUCAGCUGGGAUUACAGGUGGGCACUGCUGUGCCCAGCCCUGACUUAAAUUCUUUAAUAUAAAUACUGAGGAGUGGUAUAGCUGGGUCAUAUGGUGGUUCCAUGCUUAAUAUUUUGAGGAACCUCCAUAGUGAUUUCCAUACUGUUCAUGCUAAUUUACAAUCCCACCAACUAUGUAAAAAUGCUCCUUUUUCUCCACAUCCUCUCCAGCAUUUAUUAGUUUGUAUUCUUUUUUUUAAUUGGUUGCUCAAAACAUUACAAUGAUCUUGACAUAUCAUAUAUCAUACAUUUGAUUCAAAUGGGGUAUGAAUUCUUAUUUUUCCCAUGUGUAGGUUGUAUUCUUGAUGACUGCCAUUCUGACUGGAAAAAGAGCAAAUAUCAAAUCUCACUGUAGUUUGAUUUACAUAUCCCUAAUUGCUAAUGAUGUCAAACAUUUUAAAAAUUAUUUGUUGGCCAUUCAUAUUUAUUCUGUGUCUGCUUUAUUUAUUUGCUCAUUUAUUAAUUUGCGUUACUUGGGUUUUUUGUUUUGUUUUUUUGGUGUUGAGUUUGAGUUCUUUGUACAUUCUAGAUAUUAAUCCUCUGUUAGAAGAGUAGCUAGCAAAGAUUUUUCUCCCAGCACUUUUCACACUCUUUUCACACUCUUGUUUCCUUUGCUGUGCAGAAGCUUUUUAAUUUGAUG